UACGUAGGGACCGAGCGUUGUCCGGAUUCAUUGGGCGUAAAGAGCUCGUAGGCGGCCACUCAAGUCGAAUGUGAAACCUCGAGGUCUAACCUCGAGCCUGCAUUCGAUACUGGGCGGCUAGAGUCUGGUAGGGGGAUCUGGAAUUCCUGGUGUAGCGGUGAAAUGCGCAGAUAUCAGGAGGAACACCGGUGGCGAAGGCGGGGUCUCUGGGCAGUAACUGACGCUGAGGAGCGAAAGCGUGGGGAGCGAACAGG
rnacentral:rRNA from 1 species